UAGAGUUUGAUCCUGGCUCAGGAUGAACGCUAGCUACAGGCUUAACACAUGCAAGUCGAGGGGCAUCGCGGUGCAGCAAUGCACUGGCGGCGACCGGCGCACGGGUGAGUAACGCGUAUCCGACCUGGCCUUCACUCGGGUAUAGCCCCUCGAAAGAGGGAUUAAUCCCCGAUAUGUGGGAGAGUUACAUGGCGCUCCCACGAAAGCGUAACGGUGAAGGAUGGGGAUGCGUCCCAUUAGGUUGUUGGCGGGGUAACGGCCCACCAAGCCGACGAUGGGUAGGGGUACUGAGAGGUAGGUCCCCCACAUUGGAACUGAGACACGGUCCAAACUCCUACGGGAGGCAGCAGUGAGGAAUAUUGGUCAAUGGGCGAGAGCCUGAACCAGCCAAGUAGCGUGAAGGAAGACUGCCCUAUGGGUUGUAAACUUCUUUUGUGCGGGGGUAAAGUGGUCCACGCGUGGUCCAUUGCAAGUACCGUACGAAUAAGCAUCGGCUAACUCCGUGCCAGCAGCCGCGGUAAUACGGAGGAUGCGAGCGUUAUCCGGAUUUAUUGGGUUUAAAGGGAGCGUAGGCGGGCGAUUAAGUCAGCGGUUAAAUAGUGUGGCUCAACCAUGCCUUGCCGUUGAUACUGGUUGUCUUGAGAGUACUAGAGGUGGAUGGAAUUUAGGGUGUAGCGGUGAAAUGCUUAGAUAUCCUAAAGAACUCCGAUUGCGAAGGCAGUCCACUGGGGUACGUCUGACGCUGAAGCUCGAAAGUGCGGGUAUCAAACAGGAUUAGAUACCCUGGUAGUCCGCACAGUA
rnacentral:rRNA from 1 species